UACAGAGGUCUCAAGCGUUGUUCGGAUUCAUUGGGCGUAAAGGGUGUGUAGGUGGCGCGCUAAGUCGGGUGUGAAAUUUCGGAGCUUAACUCCGAAACUGCAUUCGAUACUGGCGUGCUUGAGGACUGGAGAGGAGACUGGAAUUCUUGGUGUAGCAGUGAAAUGCGUAGAGAUCAUGAGGAAGACCAGUGGCGAAGGCGGGUCUCUGGACAGUUCCUGACACUGAGACACGAAGGCCAGGGGAGCAAACGGG
rnacentral:rRNA from 1 species